UGCGUUCCUAUUUUUAGUCGUGGAGCCCAGCCUAACCUUAUCUCUCUGCCUUCCGCGGGCGGCGGCGCAUCGCGAACAGCACGGCGACGGCCGCUCGACCUCGUCCUCUGCCCGUUCUUCGCCGGCGGCAGCCUCUCCUCCACACCCCCUGCCUGUUCUUCACCAUCGGCAGCAUGAGUCCUCUCGGUUCUUCCGCCCACCUCGCCGGCAGCCUUCGUGGGUGCGCCCUCUCCGUCUGAUCGUCCCUGCUCGUUCUUCCCCAGCGGCUGGUGUCCUCUCCGCUCUUCCGCUCGCCUCGCUGGCAGGGCGGCAGCAUGCGCCCACUCCGCCUGACCGCGCUUACGAGCACGGGGGCAUGCCCAUCUGUUGGCUGUUGAUGCUGCCGUGCUGGGCCACGGGUGUGGAUUGGAGAUUUGGAGUGGAGAUCCAGUCAGAGUAGGAUCUCGUCAAGAUGAGAAAGCUAGAAUUCGUUGUGCUGAUCCUGAUGAUUUCUUUGUCGUGCUUCUCUGAAAGUCUGACCUGUGAAGCAUAUCUGAAUUGAAGUCUGAAGAAAGCUAAUAAUAUUUGGAGAUCUCUGGUACUGUUAGAUAGGGAGUUUUUUUUUUUUUUUGCAGGUACGUAUGCUAGGCAAUUCAAUUUGCAUGGUGCCAUCCGAGCUUCGUAUAGUCACUCUGUUAGUACUCAAUUCAAUUGCUAGUCCUAAUUUAAUGAAUUACUAUGAGAUUGCUGCAACACAAAUUCAAUUUCCACAUAUUAGUUGUUGUCUUCCUUUCUACUGAUUUGAAUUUUGAGAACCUAUGACGUAUGGACUGCUAUCCAAUAUUAACAUUUCACAUGUUGAACCAGGAAUGCGGCUGUUGUAGUUAUAUAAUUGUAUUGUUUAUAAGCUUAUUUUUCUAUGAUCGACUAUAUAUAAUACACCGGUUCAUAGGAUUGUAUGGCCGUUUCAAUUUAACGGUUCAAAAGUAUUGAACCGGUGGUUCAACUGGUUCUUAACAGUUGAACCGAUGAACCAUUACGUACGGUUCAAUGAUCGAUCGGUACUAAUAACUAUGCUAGCAGCUGAGAACGAUACAGUACAAGCAUGUGCGCCAUGGGCAAAACCGAUGCAGUCCCGUGACGGACGACGCAGGCGUGGUUCACGCACCAGACGAUCGCAAUUCGCAAACACGUUGAAUUUAUUUUGUGCGGCUGCAACGAACGCACACACACUGGGCACUGGCAACGGCAUCACCUCGAUCGGGUGGCGACGACGACGGCCGCCGCCGCUCGUGGCAUGCAGGCCCCCGCCGGCCGGCCGGCCGGCCAGCGGUGAUCACCCGCCCCGGCACUGGUUCCGGUACGUGCACGGCCGGGUGUAGGACCCUCCCGCCGGCUUCCCGGCGCACUGGCUGCCGCUCUGGCAGCCGGGCCUGUUCCUGUUGAGGGCGCCGGUGGAGAUGCGGCCGCCGUUCGAGUUCGUCGCCAGCACGCCGCCGAACUCCGGGGCCACCUCGUCCUCAACGAGCCGGUAGCGCCACUUGUCAACACGAGCAGCACCGCCGGCAACACCAUCCUGCCGCCGGCGAACGUGGCGAGGAGGAGGGCGACGGUGGUGGCGAGGAGGAGGACGCGAGGGGCUGGCUGGCCGGCAUCGUGCACCGGUUUGGUCUGCUUGUCGUCGGCAAAUUAAGGUUGGGCGCGCCUACCUUGUGCCUACGCACACGAUUAUAUAUUGUUGCAAAGUUGCGCGAACUGGACACAAAGAAGCUGAACAAAAGCAUGGCAUCGCCGGGACUUUAGGUGGUGCGAUUAUUUUGGGGCUAAUAAAAAGCUAGCAAAGUUAAAGAAAUCGAUAAUGAUCUCUGAAGAUGUGGCCUAGGGUUUUUAAACUUGGUGUCCUUUGUUACCCCUAGCAGUUUGAUGCUCCUAGACAUGCAGUUUGAUGCUCCUAGACUUGUUAAGCGAUUGAAGACAGGUGUAGAUCUUCUGAUCAAAUGCCAUCUGAAGGACCUGCGCAAGCAUCAAAUCAGCACGCAAUGCCAGUAACCGGAGAUUAUCUGGGGUGCUUUGGACCUCCGAUCCAAAUAAUGUCAGCUAACAAGUUUAGAGGGAAGGGAUUUGCAUUCAAGAGUUUAUUACAAACUCGAGCAACACACCGACACAAGAUGAGGGACCUAGAACUGCAUUUUCAAAGUUCAAGUAUCAACGAGUGUUGCUUACUUAUAUGCAUGGUCUGGUUCUGGUACUGCUCCUGCUGAAACAGGGCGAACAAAGACGAUGAUGCUGACUGCGCAACUGAUUCAUGAAUCAGGUGCUGCGCUUGAACCAACAAUUAGCGGCAGGAACAAUCGCCUGUAAACCCCAGGGCUGCAAUAACCGCAGUCCGCAGCCAGACCUCCCUACUGAAUCAACAACCCAGAAUUAGGUGAUCAAUGGUUUCAACCUCCUGCGCGCAGAAAGCACAGUCCGCAUGGUCUUGCAAGUUAUGUCGCCGGCGUCUAUCAGCAGUCCAGCACCUACCAUGCAAAAGGAGCCGGACAAAGAAUUUUGCCGCUCAGGUGCUCUAGAUUUGCACAGGAGCUUGUGCUCUAGAUUUGCACAGGAGCUUGGCUCCUGCCUAUAUCACUAUUUAUGCCGCUAGAAUUAACCUAGUACUCCCUCCGUCCCAAAUUGUAGGCUUGUAGGUCAUUUUGGUAUUUCUAGGUGCAUAAUUUUUGCUAUGCAGUUAGAUAUAGUUUAUGUCUAGAUGCAUAAUAAUAUUUAUAAAUUUAGAAAAAUUAAAUGGAUGGAGUAGUGAUUAGUAAUCCGCGGUAAAAUGAUAGAUUCUUUUCUCGUGUAAUCAUUUCUCUUUUUUAGACUUUUUUGUACAGGUUUUUGAGACUUGUCGGCCAGUCACUCGGUCUAGUCGAAGAAAUCCAGUGGUAGAUUUCAGAGUGGGCUUUCGAACAUCGGGCCUGUGAAUGGAUGAACACAGCCCAACACAUAUUGGAUAUUCUGUUGUUCACGAGCGUCCCCACAAACUAAUUCGUUGCCUAAACUUAGCAUCUGUUAAUAAUCAUGUAAAGAUAAUAAGACAUAUUGAACUGAAGAAUGCGUAAUACAUAGUUGUUUCUCUUCUUUCCUUUAUUUUACUAAUUCGGAUUUGUUCUUGAUAGAGUUGUUAGCUACUGAUGUCUAUAUGAUAGGACUCAUAGUCAAUCAAUUUAUCAAUUUGUGGAAGGGAUAUUGAGCAUUGAUGAUAGACUAGGGAGGAGCUAUAGUGCAUUAGUAGAUUUGUAAGCAAAACUUAUACGCUGAUUUAAAUACAUGCAGGGUGGGUGGGGGGCUUGAGCCCCCACCCUCCUCCAUGUUUGCAUGAUAGAAAAAAUAGUAGAAAUGUAGAAAGAUAAGGUGGAGGAAGAAUACCCGGUAGAUGUUUGUCCUCUGCGUCCAGCCGCCCACCAUUCUGCAUAUGUUGUUAUCGAGCUAUAAUACAUUUUUAUUUUUAACACAUGUUCUAUGAUAUUUAUAAAAUUACAAUCCCCGAUCCACGUAAUUCCAAAAAUAUGAUCUUAUUUUCAAACACAUGAAAGCUCCAUUCCAGAUUAAAUACUACUCCCUCCGUCUCAAAUUCCUAUUCGUUUUAGCUUUUCUAGAGACAUAACUUUGGCUAUGUAUCUAGACAUAUUAUAUAUCUAUGUGAAUAUUAAAAACUAUAUACUUAGAAAAGUCAAAACAAAUAGUAAUUUGGGACGGAGGGAGUAGUAAAUAAGCUGGCACUUGUUAAGUGCAUAAAAAUUCAUGAUCGUGCAAAAUUCAUAGGAAAUUAAAUAUAGCUCCAAAUGAUAUGAAACAAACUUUGUUAGAUUCAUGAUAUUACCAUCUACAUGUUAAAAAUCAUGUGCCCCCAUGAAAUAAUUAUCAGUUUUUAGAAAUAUAAGUGUACUUACAAUAUCGAUUUCCCCCGCCUAACCCACUCCAGAGGUUCUUCUAAAUUCAAUGCUAGGUCGCGGCUCUACCUUCCCUACGACGACCGCCACCAUGCUGUUGAGCUUGUUUAACUGCUGCUAGCCUGCCACCGUUAAAGGAAGCUGUAGCUUCUGCUUUUACAGACUAUAGCAUGCAUAUUCAUUCUCCUAUCAAGAACGCGCCUACUCUGAUCUACCAACAAAAACUACUGUUCACGAGCCGUCACCAUCCGCAUCAAAUUAUCAGCACCAUGAUGCGACACGGCUGUGAUCUCCAUGCAUAAUCCAGCAGAAACGCAGUGAUCCAGCAGUGCGUUAUGGCAUGGGGAUGCGCUAGCUCACAUGAACAAGGCAAGGCUGCGGCACAUGGCACAGGUCCUGCCGCACAUGAACCCACACUGAUUAGUGCGACGCAGCCACGGCGCGUGCCGUAUUAUAUUCAGACACGCACACACGCUGUUACUGUCAUGGGAGAAGUUUACGAUUUCCCUCCUGCCGCGCUGAUUGCAUAUUCAGAUAUGCAAUGCUGUUACCACCAGCUCGAUUGAUCCCCUCCUGCAUCUUGAUUCUUUCAUGGGAAAAUGUUUGCAAUUCUUCUGCAGUUUAUUGCUCCAAUCUGCACGCCCAAGAUCUGGCUGCAGUGCAGGUAUAUAUGUCGAGUUCAGUUUCAGAAUUUCAGUCACAGCCUGCAGAAAUCAGAAUGCAGUUAUCAAUAAUCCCAUCAGAUUACCAUGGAUUGUAUGUAAUCAAGCUGAAUCAUGUGAGGGUACAGAGAUCAGAUUGGUUGGGACUUGGGAAGCUGUGGGCAAAUACUAGUAUAGUGGCAUGGAAAAUUUCAGAACCCACCAUUGUAGGGUAUGUAGCAACAGGAGCAAGUUUGGAUUCUUCUUCAGAGUUCAGAGAUCAAAGGAAAGGAGGAAGAAAAAUGAAAGGUGGUGUCUGUCCUGCAGCUGGAAUCUCCAGCGACCUUUUUUUUUUGUUUCCUGAAACACUCAAUUGUGAUUCCCUGAAAAGCAGGCGACAGGGACAACACAAAAUAACAAGAUAUCAAAAUCGACAGCAUUGAAGUAGAAAAAAAGCUAAAAAGAAAUGGGAAACAAAUAAUAUGGAGGGAAAUCUUGUGCUCUCUUAACUGCUCUGACCAACCCCACCUCCUUCCAGCUCCCCUGUUCCCUCUCCUCUCUCUUCUUUGACGCCUCCAAAGCCUCCCUGUCUCUCUGCAACAACACAGCGCGUAGCACAGCGAGCAGCCACGCAGGAGGUGAGACCUUGCCAGCCAUUGUCGACAAUGGCGGAGCCCAAGUCGUCCAAGAGCAAGUCCAAGUCCAAGUCCAAGAGCAGCAGCAGCCACGACGCGGCGGCGUCCAAGAAGUCCAAGGCCAGCGCCGCCGCCGCGGCGGGCCCGGGGACCCUGGACGCGCUCUUCGCGCCGUGCGCGGACGUCAAGGGCCUCCGCUUCGGCGCGCAGCUCGUCACGCGCGCGCUCACCGUGCGCCGCGCGUCCCCGCUCGAGCUCCCGCACCUCCUCCGCGCCGCGCACUCCCCCGCCCCCGGCGCCGCGGCCGCGGCCACGGGGGACGCGCUGUCGUUCGCGCCGACGACGACGGCGUACAUCCCGACCAACUUCGCCAUCCUGGCGCACCACGCGUGGCACACCCUGACGCUGGGGCUGGGCACCAAGAACUCCAAGGCCGCCGUCUUCGUCUUCGAGUCCGCCGCCAUGAAGGCCGCCGCGGACGCCGCGUGGCCGGGCGUCGUCCCGCUCGGCGACGUCGGCCGCCGCCUCAUCCGCGCGGCGCCCGGCGCGCCCGAGAUGGCGCGGUUCAAGUUCCGCAAGGGCUGCGUCACCUUCUACGUCUACGCCGUCCGGACCGCCGGCACCCGCGGGUUCGCGCGGGCCGACGAGCUCAGGGCCGUCGUGGAGGCCGUCGCCAGGCUCAAGGACUUCCUGGACCACACCGCCAUGCUCGCGCUCCCGGGCCAGAGGAGCAUCGACGUCGCCGCCGCCGCGGUGGGCGUCGUGCAUUGACGCGCUUUGAUUUGCAGCUGUGGCGUUGUUACGAUUUACGAACUGUGAAUAGAAUCCUUCUGUUGCUUCUCUAGUUUUCUUCUUCUCGGUGUGUGCACUGAUUUCUGAAUGUGGCCAUUUCUUUCUUGGAUUGAGAUCGAUGUGCAAUUCCUUGAUUCCCCGAUGUGAAAUUGUUCACGGCAUUGACUAGAAGAUGCCACGAAAAUUUCACUGCUAAGAUGUUGAUAGAAACCAAGUUGGAGUUAGCAUUUUUCUCUUCAGGAUGGAGUGCGAGGUUGAUCCUUGGUCUUGUGUUUCAGUUAUAUAGAUAAUGAGUAUGCCAGUUUUCAUGCUGCGGUCAGCAAUGUAUCUCUAUUGCAUAAAGUUUGUCGAAAUUCAGUUCAUGAAUUAGAUUGUUCUUUCUUUUAGUAUCAAAACCCACAGGAGAGUUCACUCGGGGGCUUCAGCAUUCAGCAUCCGCACUGAACUGAACUGACAUCCAUCAUCGCUUCAAGGUGAGCUGCACUUUACAGCCAUGGGAAUGUGAUUCUAGUUCAAUGACAACCUGUGAUUCUUAUGCCAACAACACUGUACCAGUGAUCAAAGAGCCAUAAAAAAAACAGUGUGAAAGCUCAAGGAGCAAGCUCAAAAGGACACUAUACACAUCAUGCCAUCAUGACGCCUCAAUGCCCAAACAAUGCAAGUACUGACCACUGACGCCUCCCUCUCGUUUGCUCUGAAUCACACACACGCUACACGCUAGAACGAGCAGCAGCAGCUUCAGUGAAUCAGUAGGGCAGGCUACAGCUACAGUGCUACAGCACCGACAUGCCCAUGCCACGCAACACCAAACGAGAUCUGUCCUGCAGCUUCGCUCUGGCUCCACACGAGAAAACAACAUGCCAACUUGGACGGCGACACAGCAGGUAGUGGGCACAAGGUGGCCGGGGGCCAACCUGCCCACAUCGCCCAUGGCCAAAGCUCCAAGCCAUGAGAUGAUGCCAAAGGCGAUCACGUCCAAACCAUUGUGAUCUGAUGGUUGAUCCAGACCCCCUUUUGGCCUCCCAAAUUCCAAUUCCAAGUGCAUCAGUUCAUGGCAUGAUGAGCUCAUGUGCAUGGUCCAGCACUCUUUGCUGUCAAAGAAGGCAGAUGUCUUAUGAGAGGGCAAGAAGAAAGGCACCUUUACAGAUCUUGCACCAUGCUGUCUAGCCCUACAAACAAUACCUGAAUAUAGCAACGAGAUAAUAUGCACCUAUGUGGCUCAAGAUCUGUAAGUUUAUUCAAUUCCUUACCCAGCAGCUGGUUCAAGAAGCAACCUAGCUGACACCGAGUUGUGUAUCUCAAGGAGUGCUGAAAUCUUUUUAGGAUUACACAAAUCAAUGCUGACAAAAUCC
rnacentral:lncRNA from 1 species